AGGGUGUAAACGCUGCGGGCUUGGUGUUGGGGGUCCUUUGAGGGCGCCCAGUGCCGGAGAGAAGUUGUUAAGCCUGCUGCUUGGGGAGUACGUCCGCAAGGAUGAAACUUAAAGGAAUUGGCGGGGGAGCACCGCAACGGGAGGAGCGUGCGGUUCAAUUGGAUUCAACGCCGGAAAUCUUACCGGGACCGACAGCAACAUGAAGGCCUGGCUGAAGACUUUGCCGGAUUAGCUGAGAGGUGGUGCAUGGCGUAGUCGUGU
rnacentral:rRNA from 1 species